rnacentral:rRNA from 1 species
CACGUAGGGUGCGAGCGUUGUCCGGAAUUAUUGGGCGUAAAGAGCUCGUAGGCGGUGUGUCACGUCGGCCGUGAAAACCUGCAGCUUAACUGUGGGCGUGCGGUCGAUACGGGCAUCACUGGAGUUCGGCAGGGGAGACUGGAAUUCCUGGUGUAGCGGUGAAAUGCGCAGAUAUCAGGAGGAACACCGGUGGCGAAGGCGGCUCUCUGGGACGGUACUGACGCUGAGACGCGAAAGCGUGGGGAGCGAACAGG